rnacentral:rRNA from 1 species
GCCAACGUCCAUACCACGUUGAAUACACCGGUUCUCGUCCGAUCACUGAAGUUAAGCAACGUCGGGCGCGGUCAGUACUUGGAUGGGUGACCGCCUGGGAACACCGCGUGACGUUGGCU